UCCUAGACCCAUCAGCUCUAAGACCACUGCAACAAGGUCUCUCUCUGUCAUCCAGGCUGGAGUGCAAUAGCAUGAUCAUAGCUCACUGAUACCUUGAACUCCUGGGCUCAAGGGAUCCUCCUGCCCCAGCCUCCCAAGUAGCUGGAACUACAGGUACACUUCAUGAUGCCUAGCUAAUUGUUUUUUAAUUUAAUUUAAUUUUAUUUUAUU
rnacentral:lncRNA from 1 species